rnacentral:lncRNA from 1 species
CCAGUCUCAAACUUCAAAUCGUGAGCGAAGUCGUGCGACCACAUUAGCAUUAAUGUGUGCUUUGCUGUCGCCAUUGUUAUAAAUAAAUUGUCUCACUUAUCAGAUUGUGUGUGCAAUUCUUGUUGGCGGCGGAAAAUACGAAAUUUAUUUCAGUUAUGUCAUUUGUAAAGAACUUGACAAAAGAAGAGAGCGUUCAGAGGCCAGAUCGUUUCGUUCCAAACGGCAAUUACCGUCUUCUGUUUCGCUCUCUCAGCAAAGCCCUGGAAAUCGCAAAGUGUUUCGAAUAAGCUUACAUGCAACUGCUUCUAAAUCUUCACCGCCAAAAGCGCUGGGUUUUUUUCAGUGCAAGAACAGAGUCAACAUCAACCAAAAGAUAAUUUUCUCGAGGGAUAUACAACGUAUCAAGUCUUUUU